CCGUGUGCUUACAAGUAGUCAGAGCCCGUUAAUGGGUGAUGGCGUGCCUUUUGUAGAAUGAACCGGCGAGUUACGAUUUGAUGCAAGGUUAAGCAGUAAAUGUGGAGCCGUAGCGAAAGCGAGUCUGAAUAGGGCGUUUAGUAUUUGGUCGUAGACCCGAAACCAGGUGAUCUACCCUUGGUCAGGUUGAAGUUCAGGUAACACUGAAUGGAGGACCGAACCGACUUACGUUGAAAAGUGAGCGGAUGAACUGAGGGUAGCGGAGAAAUUCCAAUCGAACCUGGAGAUAGCUGGUUCUCUCCGAAAUAGCUUUAGGGCUAGCCUCAAGUGAUGAUUAUUGGAGGUAGAGCACUGUUUGGACGAGGGGCCCCUCUCGGGUUACCGAAUUCAGACAAACUCCGAAUGCCAAUUAAUUUAACUUGGGAGUCAGAACAUGGGUGAUAAGGUCCGUGUUCGAAAGGGAAACAGCCCAGACCACCAGCUAAGGUCCCAAAAUAUAUGUUAAGUGGAAAAGGAUGUGGCGUUGCCCAGACAACUAGGAUGUUGGCUUAGAAGCAGCCAUCAUUUAAAGAGUGCGUAAUAGCUCACUAGUCGAGUGACACUGCGCCGAAAAUGUACCGGGGCUAAACAUAUUACCGAAGCUGUGGAUUGUCCUUUGGACAAUGGUAGGAGAGCGUUCUAAGGGCGUUGAAGCAUGAUCGUAAGGACAUGUGGAGCGCUUAGAAGUGAGAAUGCCGGUGUGAGUAGCGAAAGACGGGUGAGAAUCCCGUCCACCGAUUGACUAAGGUUUCCAGAGGAAGGCUCGUCCGCUCUGGGUUAGUCGGGUCCUAAGCUGAGGCCGACAGGCGUAGGCGAUGGAUAACAGGUUGAUAUUCCUGUACCACCUAUAAUCGUUUUA
rnacentral:rRNA from 1 species